CGCACGGGUGAGUAACGCGUAAGUUAUCUACCCUCCCAUCUGGAAUAACUCAGCGAAAGCUGUGCUAAUACCGGAUACGUUGAUUUAUCAAGAAAGGUGGCCUCUGAUUUAAGCUACCGUGGGAGGAGGAGCUUGCGUACCAUUAGCUAGUUGGUAGGGUAAUGGCCUACCAAGGCAACGAUGGUUAGCGGGUCUGAGAGGAUGAUCCGCCACACUGGAACUGGAACACGGACCAGACUCCUACGGGAGGCAGCAGUGAGGAAUAUUGCGCAAUGGGGGAAACCCUGACGCAGCGACGCCGCGUGGAUGAUGAAGGCUUUUCGGGUCGUAAAAUCCUGUCAGAAUGGAAAGAAAUUGUACAUUGUGUUAAUAUCACUUUGUAUUUUGACGGUACCAUCAAAGGAAGCACCCGGCUAACUCCCGUGCCAGCAGCCCGCGGUAAUACGGAGGGUGCAAGCGUUGUUCGGGAAUUACUGGGGCGUAAAGCGCGCGUAGGCGGCUAUUUAAGUCAGAUGUGAAAGUCCAUGGCUCAACCGUGGAAAGUGCAUUUUGAAAACUGGGGUAGCUUUGAGUAUUGGAGGGGGGUGUGGUGGGAAUUUCCCGGUUGUAGAAGGGUGGAAAUUCGUAGAUUAUCGGGGAGGAAUACCGGUGGGCGAAAGCGACCACCUGGGCCAAAUACUGACGCUGAGGUGCGAAAGCGUGGGGAGCAAACAGGAUUAGAUACCC
rnacentral:rRNA from 1 species